GUUUUAAGCCCAGAAUGCAUUAGCCUUGAAGGGCAAUAUCCUUACCAACAUGUGAUCUGAAGGAGCUCUGAACCCUCCAGUGAGACAUCAGCCCAUCAGACUCACAGAGAACAGCAGGAAGGCCAAAGACUCAAGAUUUAUCUAUCCUUGAAUUAUUCAGUGAUGCUGAUUACAACAGGCCUCCGUUAUACGAAGGGAAAACAUCCCAGACCCCCCAGUGAAUGCCUGAAACUGGAUUCUACUGAACCCUGAGAUGGUACUAAGUGACUAACGGGUGAAUAGCGUGUACAGCAUGGAUACACUAGACAAAGGGAGGAUUCGCAUCCCGGGCUGGUCAGCAAGAGGUUUCAUCACCCCACUCAAAAUGGCAGGACCGUAUGAACCUGAAUCCAGAGAAACGGCUCAUCAGUCUCCAAUCCUCUGAUUUUCUAAACCAGGACUACAUUAUAUUAAAACCAGAAAAAGCAAUACCUCUUUUCACAGAAUGGACUUUCUGGUGGAAAUGGGAGGAACCAAAAGAAGGCUGACUUCUUCAUUUUGACACCCUGCCCUGACUGCAGAACGUGAUUUCCCUAAAAGACUGAAUGUUAACCUCAAAGCCUGGUCAACCAACAUGCAGGAGAAAUCUUGACCAAGGCUCUGAGCAUGCUGUGGUCCCAGUGGUGAGGGUGUGAUAUGCACUGUCUGUUCCUGGAGUCACAGUGCUCAUCUUGUGGUAAAGACCUCUUGGAAGAAUGUCUUCAAAGGCACAUCUCCAGCUGGGAGUCCUUGUUUCCUGAUUUUUUUUUUUAAGUUUAUGUUAUAUGAACAAAUGAGACUGCUUUCCCGGCAGGAGUAGCCCUCAGACGCCCACUGUGAGCCUACUUUCUGGAAGAAGCCAACUCAGACAGACCACAGUGUGUGCACAGCAUACGUGGCUGCUGGCUGUGGAUGAGAAAGUAUUCCUGAUCUGUCAGAAUAAUGAUUUCAGCGUGUUCUCAGCAGGUCCUCAGUGUGAUCCCAUGAGGAUACCCUCAACCCCUUGCAUGACAUGUUGUACUUGGAGUCCUUCCCCAUUUCAAUUUCAGCAUCAGUGGGAGGGAAAUAGCAAAACAGCAUUCCUUCAUGUAGAUAACCAGUAGGCAGCAGGCUACUCCUGGUUCGUAACAUAACUCCACCAGUGUAUUCUGGCAGCCGGGCUUACUUAAGGGAGAGCACAGACAUUCCCUGCUCAAAAACAAAACUGCUAAACGUGACUCCGGUAGCCUCCAUGCUCUCUGCAAGAAUAAAAUCCUUGAAGAAAAA
rnacentral:lncRNA from 1 species